GACGUAGGGGGCCAGCGUUGUUCGGAAUUACUGGGUGUAAAGGGUUCGUAGGCGGUGUGGCAAGUCGGGAGUGAAAUCUCUGGGCUCAACCCAGAGGCUGCUUCCGAAACUGCUGUGCUUGAGUGUGGGAGAGGCGCGUGGAAUUGCAGGUGUAGCGGUGAAAUGCGCAGAUAUCAGGAAGAACACCCGUGGCGAAGGCGGCUUUCUGGGACGGUACUGACGCUGAGAAGCGAAAGCAUGGGGAGCGAACAGG
rnacentral:rRNA from 1 species